rnacentral:rRNA from 1 species
GCCCUUGGAAGGGAUGUAUUUAUUAGAUUAAAAACCAAUGCCCUUCGGGGCUCACUGGUGAUUCAUGAUAACUCCUCGAAUCGCAUGGCCUUGUGCCGGCGAUGGUUCAUUCAAAUUUCUUCCCUAUCAACUUUCGAUGUUUGGGUAUUGGCCAAACAUGGUUGCAACGGGUAACGGAGGGUUAGGGCUCGACCCCGGAGAAGGAGCCUGAGAAACGGCUACUACAUCCAAGGAAGGCAGCAGGCGCGCAAAUUACCCAAUCCCGACACGGGGAGGUAGUGACAAUAAAUACUGAUACAGGGCUCUUUUGGGUCUUGUAAUUGGAAUGAGUACAAUUUAAAUCCCUUAACGAGGAACAAUUGGAGGGCAAGUCUGGUGCCAGCAGCCGCGGUAAUUCCAGCUCCAAUAGCGUAUAUUAAAGUUGUUGUGGUUAAAAAGCUCGUAGUUGAACCUUGGGCCUGGCUGGCCGGUCCGCCUCGCCGCGUGUACUGGUCCGGCCGGGCCUUUCCCUCUGUGGAACCCCAUGCCCUUCACUGGGUGUGGCGGGGAACCAGGACUUAAGGGC